rnacentral:rRNA from 1 species
GUGGGGAAUUUUGGACAAUGGGCGCAAGCCUGAUCCAGCAAUGCCGCGUGCAGGAAGAAGGCCUUCGGGUUGUAAACUGCUUUUGUACGGAACGAAACGGUCCUGGUUAAUACCUGGGGCUAAUGACGGUACCGUAAGAAUAAGCACCGGCUAACUACGUGCCAGCAGCCGCGGUAAUACGUAGGGUGCGAGCGUUAAUCGGAAUUACUGGGCGUAAAGCGUGCGCAGGCGGUGCUGUAAGACCGGCGUGAAAUCCCCGGGCUCAACCUGGGAAUUGCGCUUGUGACUGCAGUGCUGGAGUACGGCAGAGGGGGAUGGAAUUCCGCGUGUAGCAGUGAAAUGCGUAGAUAUGCGGAGGAACACCGAUGGCGAAGGCAGUCCCCUGGGCCUGUACUGACGCUCAUGCACGAAAGCGUGGGGAGCAAACAGGAUUAGAUACCCUAGUAGUCC